GAAUUCAACUCCUACGGGAGGCAGCAGUGGGGAAUUUUGGACAAUGGGGGCAACCCUGAUCCAGCAAUGCCGCGUGAGUGAAGAAGGCCCUCGGGUUGUAAAGCUCUUUUGUCAGGGAAGAAACGGAGUUCUCUAAUAUAGGAUUCUAAUGACGGUACCUGAAGAAUAAGCACCGGCUAACUACGUGCCAGCAGCCGCGGUAAUACGUAGGGUGCAAGCGUUAAUCGGAAUUACUGGGCGUAAAGCGUGCGCGGGCGGUUUUGUAAGUCAGAUGUGAAAUCCCCGGCCUCAACCUGGGAAUUGCAUUUGGGACUGCACGGCUAGAGUGUGUCAGAGGGGGGUAGGAUUCCACGUGUAGCAGUGAAAUGCGUAGAUAUGUGGAGGAAUACCGAUGGCGAAGGCAGCCCCCUGGGAUAACACUGACGCUCAUGCACGAAAGCGUGGGGAGCAGACAGGAUUAGAAACCCGAGUAGUCCAGGCGUU
rnacentral:rRNA from 1 species